rnacentral:rRNA from 1 species
UACGAAGGGGGCUAGCGUUGUUCGGAUUAACUGGGCGUAAAGGGCGCGUAGGCGGGUCUUUAAGUCAGGGGUGAAAUCCCAAGGCUCAACCUUGGAACUGCCUUUGAUACUGGAGAUCUUGAGUCCGGGAGAGGUGAGUGGAACUGCGAGUGUAGAGGUGAAAUUCGUAGAUAUUCGCAAGAACACCAGUGGCGAAGGCGGCUCACUGGCCCGGUACUGACGCUGAGGCGCGAAAGCGUGGGGAGCAAACAGG